rnacentral:rRNA from 1 species
GGACCCGCACAAGUAGUGGAGCAUGUGGUUUAAUUCGAAGAUACGCGCAGAACCUUACCAACACUUGACAUGUUCGUCGCGACUUUAAGAGAUUAAAGUCUUCGGUUCGGCCGGACAAAACACAGGUGCUGCAUGGCUGUCGUCAGCUCGUGUCGUGAGAUGUUGGUUAAGUCCCGCAACGAGCGCAACCCUCACUUUUAGUUGCCAUCAUUUAGUUGGGCACUCUGAAAGAACUGCCAGUGAUAAGCUGGAGGAAGGUGGGGAUGACGUCAAGUCCUCAUGGCCCUUACGUGUUGGGCUACACACGUGCUACAAUGGCAGUGACAAUGGGUUAAUCCCCAAAAGCUGUCUCA